rnacentral:lncRNA from 1 species
GGUCUAGACCGCACAUCUUUUGAGGCCAGGUUGAGUCAUCCAGAGGAGUUCCAUCUGAAGAUGGAUCUACCGGGCAGUCAUAUUCAAGAUAUCUGCAUGCGCAGAAGAGAGUGAGGAUAGAGGUUUGUGUUGUUGUUGCUCUUGCUUUUGAGACAGGGUCUCACUGUGUAGCCAAGGUUGGCCUUGAACUUUCUGUGUAGCCCAAAGCUGGCCUCAAACUGAUGAUCCUUCUGCCUUAGCUACCCAAGUAUGCAUACAUUCCAGCAUGGAUCGUGGCAGCCUUUCCUUCUUUGGGAAGUAGGCACCUCAUUCCUCGAAACAGUCAUGGAUUGGAUAAAUGCAUUCAAAUCAGUUAUGAGGUCACUCAUAUACUAGGUAGCUUCCCCCCAGGGAAAUCUGACAAGGCUAAGAAUUUUUAUUUUUCAAGCAGAUAAUUUUCUCUUCUUGCAGCAUCAAGUCCCCUUUAAAAUAUUUCAAACACAAGCAAUGAUAUCCCCAAGUGCUUCAGAUGUUGCCCCUACCCACCCCCAAGAGAUUCUGUAACCGUGGGAAAGCAAUCUCUUGAAGAUCAAGGUGCUGGGCCAUCAGCAGUGAUGGGCUUCUCUUGAUACGGGAGCACAAGUGUGUCUUGGUGGGAUGCCGACGCGUGCACAGGAAGACACAGACUUCUUACACCCCCUGUCCUCAGAAACAGAGGUGACAGAGAAGGAUGGGGACCCCUGAAGCUAGGCCCUGCAUUCAGAUAAAGUAAUAUCCACUUAGCAGGACAGUAGAAACCUAGUACACAGCGCGAGGCUCCACUCACAGCAUUCAAUCAGAACUGAAUGCUUUCCGUCUUUGCUCAUGUCCCUUGUGCAUAUAUGUACACGUGUAUUCACAAGUGUUUAAGCACAGCUCUCUGAACUUGCCAACCCAAAGUAUCAAGAGACCUGUAUCUAUGGCUUAGGUCAAAGAAUCGGUUCUGUUUGAGAUUUCUACAGAAUGCGCCAAGGCCUAACUAAGGCCUCUCCCUGUCUUUGGAAUGUGGAUUUAUCUUGAGCAGAUAAAUAUUCUACUUUCUAUUCCAAAUCUGUAUUUCGGUUGUGUGUCCACGGAACAACCCAGCUGACCUUCACAGCAUCUAUAACACAUUUAAUUUCUUGUAAUCACUUUAUGACUAUGAUUUGAUAGUGUAUGAACUCUGUCUCGCCAUACUUGGAAUAGAAAAUAAAUAAAAGCCCAUAAAGAU